CAAUGUGGUUGAUGUUACUGCUGUUAAUUCUUGGGCCUGGCACUGGGAUACAGGAAGUGCAUUUUUCCACAUUUUCUGUGACAUGCACGGUCUGUGAUAAUAAAUAGAACUUGCCAUUUGGGCUUAAUUGUUUAAUACCGUAGCGUUACCGCGUAAUCAGAAGUAAGAAAUAAGUUAUGUUUUGUCUGGAACACCGCCCACUAUGAACGCUUCAUCACCCACGUGAUGAAGAAGAACGUUGCCAUUUUGCACUUGUGUUGAAGGCGUGUGGACCUGAGGAGUUAUCUUUCAAGUUUUUUCUGUAGGUAUAGGUAAUUGGUGUUGAGACGGUUGGGUUGAGACGGGCUUCUGCUUCAAGCAUUGUUCCUAAGGCUCUGUAGAAAUGUGAUGUGGCAGUGUAAGGGGUGUUCCGUUGCAGUAGCUAAUAAAUGCAGAAUUUAAGCGCUUUACCACCAUGCCCCUGCAAUCCAGAUGUCUGUCACAGCUGGAUGUACGAUCUGACAAACUUCUUAAAGGUCCCAUGACAUGAAAAUCUCACUUUGGGAGGUUUUCUAACAUAAAUAUGAGUUCCCCUAGCCUGCCUAUGGUCCCCCAGUGGCUAAAACUUGCGUUUGGUGUAAAACUAGCACUAGCUGUUCUGCUCGCCUUCGAAAAAACGGAGGCUCAAGCGCGCUGAUUUGGAAUGUCUGUGCUCAUGACGUCAUCAGGAAUCUCAGCUCCUCCCCUUACUCUGCCUGGCUCGCCCAGAGACGUCGGCCCGCCAAUGAGACUCGACCGUGCGAGCGCCACGUGUGUGUGUGAAUACACACACUGUAACGCAAGUGUUUCUUGUCGGUUCUUUGACGUGUCUUGUAUUUCCACAACGAGACUGUCGUGGGGGUUAUCUGAGCCAUGGUUGAGAAGGAAUUGGGGGAAAGGAACUUUGGUUUGACUCGCUGAAGUACAUGAACGG